GCCGAUACUUCGCCUUAACACAGGCCUAUAACUGAACGCAAUGAUCACUGCAACAGAAAUACUAUUUUGUUUUAUUUUUUCAGAAAAUGUCGAUGUUAUCUGAAUAGUCGCUAUUGAAAUAUUACGAAUAUUCAUUCGGCAUCAUUGUUUGUUUACUCGAGUCCUUCCAAAUAACCUUAAACGACGAGUCCCAUCCCCCAAUCCUGCAGCGCGUGUUUCGCUAACAUCUGCCCACAAACAAUCAAAGACAACGCAACAUAGAUUCUGGGGUUGACAUGUUGAAAAUAAGGUGCUGAGCUGAGCUGAUUAGUGCUGAAAUUGGAGAGAUGUGGAGGUGGUGAAUUUGCUCCGCACCCCUCAAUCUGCCUGUCAGAGGGAUGCUGAAAAAUUUCGGUUUGAGAAAGAUAUGAAAGGAAGGAUAUCUUACGUGGCUUUGCUGAUGCGCUUCGGAGGACGCUUCGCUGGAGAUGACAGCCCGUCUUCUUCUCUCCAUGUGCUGUAACAAAAGCAUCCCAUGCAUACGAAGCCUGUCCCUUUAAAGCCUUGCUGCAUCCCUGCAGGUGGCCUGUCGAUUUAACGGAUCCGAAUGACGUCACUGCAUGGCUGGAAAAGCUGAUGUGACAAAUCCAGGAUGCUGAUUUCCGAGCUCAUUAAAUGGACACCUAAUGACCGUUUGUCCUCAGUAAGUGAGAUCGAUGUGAGUCCUCAGUGUGUGCUGAGGAAGUGAAAAUGUUACGCAAUUGGAGAAGACACUGAUGAGUCCGCAGAGGAGGUGCCCCGUUCUUGCUUCGACUUUAUUUAAAUGCUAGUCUAUGCUUGUUUACAAAACCUACACGUGUUUAUGCUGUGGUAAA